GUCAGUAUGUCUGGGUGUGUGUGGUUCAUAUGUAUGUGUGUUUCAAUAUAACUGUGAGUGUCAAAAUGUCUGUGUGUGUAUGUCUGUCAGUGUCUGUGUGUAUACGUGUGCCAGAAUGUCUGUCAGUGUGUCAGUAUGUCUAUGUGGGAGUCUGUCAGUGUCCUUGUGGUUCUGUAUGUCUGUGUUUGUCAAUAUGUCUGUCAGUGUCUGUGUGUAUGUGUGUUUUAGUAUGUCUGUCUGUGUAUAUGUGCCAAUAUGUCUGUCAGUGUAUUUGUGCCAGUAUGUCUGUCAGUGUAUUUGUGCCAGUAUGUCUGUCAGUGUGUCAGUAUGUCUGUGUGUGUGUGGUUCAGUAUGUAUG